rnacentral:rRNA from 1 species
UAGGGAAUCUUCCGCAAUGGGCGAAAGCUUGACGGAGCAACGCCGCGUGAGUGAUGAAGGUCUUCGGAUCGUAAAACUCUGUUAUUAUGGAAGAACAAAUGUGUAAGUAACUAUGCACGUCUUGACGGUACCUAAUCAGAAAGCCACGGCUAACUACGUGCCAGCAGCCGCGGUAAUACGUAGGUGGCAAGCGUUAUCCGGAAUUAUUGGGCGUAAAGCGCGCGUAGGCGGUUUUUUAAGUCUGAUGUGAAAGCCCACGGCUCAACCGUGGAGGGUCAUUGGAAACUGGAAAACUUGAGUGCAGAAGAGGAAAGUGGAAUUCCAUGUGUAGCGGUGAAAUGCGCAGAGAUAUGGAGGAACACCAGUGGCGAAGGCGACUUUCUGGUCUGUAACUGACGCUGAUGUGCGAAAGCGUGGGGAUCAAACAGG